CCUACGGGAGGCAGCAGUGAGGAAUAUUGGUCAAUGGCCGGAAGGCUGAACCAGCCAUGCCGCGUGAAGGUCAGUGCCCUAUGGGCGUUAAACUUCUUUUGUGCGGGAGCAAUAAUGGUCACGUGUGGCCAGACGAGAGUACCGUACGAAUAAGCAUCUGCUAACUCCGUGCCAGCAGCCGCGGUAAUACGGGGGAUGCAAGCGUUGUCCGGAUUUAUUGGGGUUAAAGGGUGCGUAGGCUGUGAGGUAAGUCAGCGGUGUAAUGCCUCCGCUCAACGGGGUGAAGUGCCAUUGAUACUGGCUUGCUGGAAUGCGGAUGCAGUGGGAGGAAUGUGUGGUGUAGCGGUGAAAUGCAUAGAUAUCACACAGAACACCGAUUGCGAAGGCAGCUCACGAAUCCGCGAUUGACGCUGAUGCACGAAAGCGUGGGUAUCAAACAGGAUUAGAUACCCGAGUAGUC
rnacentral:rRNA from 1 species